GACGAACGCUGGCGGCGUGCUUAACACAUGCAAGUCGAACGGAAAGGCCCUGCUUUUGUGGGGUGCUCGAGUGGCGAACGGGUGAGUAACACGUGAGUAACCUGCCCUUGACUUUGGGAUAACUUCAGGAAACUGGGGCUAAUACCGGAUAGGAGCUCCUGCUGCAUGGUGGGGGUUGGAAAGUUUCGGCGGUUGGGGAUGGACUCGCGGCUUAUCAGCUGGUUGGUGGGGUAGUGGCUUACCAAGGAUUUGACGGGUAGCCGGCCUGAGAGGGUGACCGGCCACAUUGGUACUGAGAUACGGCCCAGACUCCUACGGGAGGCAGCAGUGAGGAAUAUUGCACAAUGGGCGGAAGCCUGAUGCAGCAACGCCGCGUGCGGGAUGACGGCCUUCGGGUUGUAAACCGCUUUCGCCUGUGACGAAGCGUGAGUGACGGUAAUGGGUAAAGAAGCACCGGCUAACUACGUG
rnacentral:rRNA from 1 species